GCGUCAAAGCAACUGAACAACAUUAAUUAGGAAAACAGUGUGUCAAUAAUGCAAAAUGACAGUUAAAGGCAGUUCAUCAUUGAAUUCAGUGAUGUCAUCAUGCAGCUCAGUUCAGUUUAAAUAGUAUCUGUGCAAUAAUUUGCAAUCAAGUCAACGAUAUCACUUACUACACACACACACACACACACACACACACACACACACACACACACUGUCAAUGUAGAAACAAAUAGUAGUUUGUGUAAAUUUACUUUUGCCUAGACAAUUAACAAGAUUUAUAUGGCUUAUGUAAGAAAUAAACAUACACACAGCAUGUUUAUUAAUCUUGACUUAAUUACAGAGCAAAGAAAUUCAACAACUGCUAUGCAGUUGGAUGUUUUGCAGCUAUUAACAUCCCAUCAAGAAUGAUUCAACAUUGCAAUCUGAAACACUUUAAAUACAAUUUGACGAACCAAGCAAGUAGCAACACAUUUAAAGGAAAGGAAACCUAUUGACAGCAUCUUGUGGUAAAAUGUCAAUUACCACAGACAAUUCUAUUGACUCAUCUUUCAGUGUGUAAAAACAAACAAAUAAUUGCAAUGAUACAUUUAAAAUGUAUGUCUGGAGAGUUGAAAAGCAGUACUUGCAUGAAUGAGUGAUGUUCAGCUGUAUCAUCUAAACUGUCCUUCUAUCAACCACUGUUUUCUGCUAAUGGAUUUUCUCUUUGUAAAAACAUCACUUUGCAGAUAGUUAUGUCACAUCAUUUUUUUUUUUUUUUUGGUAUCUUUGUGCAUACUGCAGAACUUACUGGGUUUGCUGGUCACAGGUUACAAAUACCUAUUAGGUCUGUCCUUUUUUCUCCUUUUACAAAAAAUGAACAAAACCUUAAAAAACCUUGUUUUACUUAAAAAUCCACUCCAGCUGUUCUUGCCAGCAAAAGCUUUUGGCACAGGGCCCAGAAGCCCUUAGGUUAAAGCCCACUUUCUGCUGUGUAGGUACAGUAAGUAGGUUAUCACACCAACGGCCUGCCCAGCGCUGAGCUAUAGUUGAGGUUAUGUUAACAUGCUUACAUCCCAGGCUACAGCAGGAAAUACAGGUGUAGACUGUAAGGGUUAUGAGCUCCUGAAAGAGUGCAGUGCUGGAACUAGCUCUUCAGGACAGACAGGCUUCAGUGGGAACAGAUGCUGAUGGGAAGAAUGGAGAAACAAAAAGGGAGGGACAAUUAUAAGGAGAGGAGUUAUAAAUGACAGGAAAAGUAUAAUCUUGUAUUUCUGUAAAUAGAAUAACCAAUGCUUUUUAGUGAAUUUUAAGGUAAAUAUUCUGGAAGAUAAACACAAAUGUGUUAUAUAAAGACAAAUACACUUUAACCAUGUUGGUUGUGUACAUUUCAUUUGAAAUUGUAUAAUGUAUCAGCCACCCAGUUUUCUAAGUAUUGCUUCUGGCCAGUGAAAAUCCCAUAUUGAUCCAUGUAUUCUAAACGACCUGUUUUUGCAGCUUAGUUUUCAUUAAUGUACUGAGUGGAAUUUGUGCUUUGUGAAAAACUACAUAAAUUACUUUAUCUCAUCGUCCAGUAUUUGCUCUCAGCUUGAGACCAGCACACACCUCUUUGAAGACUGAAACAGUCCUUCAUCAGCUAAUCAGCCUUAAUUACACACACAAACUUAAGCCCUUUGUGUGGUUCUCAUUAGCAGUGUGUGCUGGUCAGUCAUGUGGAACGGGGUCCAGGAGGGGUCCGCAUACAUUCAACCGCUCUUUGCGUGUGGGUACAUUAUAGUAUCUGUGUUGAUUAAGACUCUGACAGCUGCCUGUUCUGAUACUAAUGAUGUGUGUUAAUCAUGUUAUUAAUCUCACCAUUAAACAGAAUGACAUGAUGAACUCUGAGGCCUCAUGCAUGAAGACCGCACACAAGGCCUUAAAAAAAGACAUGAAAUGACGAUCAUCAGACCAUGAGCAUUACGCUUCAAUGUAACUGAAUAACAUUAUUUGUCUCGACCCAAACAGCCCUUCAGAAUCAGAUAUGUUAUAUUCCUACUUCAUAUACACUCUUAAAAAUAAAUGCUCUUCAUUGGCAUCUGUUCUUUCUAAAAAGAAACAAAAUGGCAAUUCUAGCAUUUGGUUUGCACGCAGUCUUCUGUUAUUAAACGUGUCAUAAUUCCGUCUUCCGUGGAACAUAAAAGAAGAUUUUUAAGAACAAUGUGGACCAAACAACCCCAUUGUUCUUAAAAAGAAUGUCUUACUGGUUUGGAGUAAAUGAUGAGAUAAUUUUCAUUUCUGAGUAAACCAUCUCUUUAAAAAUGCAUUUAUAUUGUUACAUACUGUACGUGUUCACAAUGAAGUUGGGCUUGAAAAUUUCUACCCUAGUUUCCAAACUGGAAGUGCUACUGUAUUUUGUUGGCAAUUUUUCAAAUAGAAAGUUAUAAAUUCCUUUCUGCUUUCCAUUGUUACUUAAAAAAUGGUGUAGUAUUUACUUGUAAAAAUUGUAAAUUACAAAAAUCAUAAAAAAACAAAAUAUAAUUUCAUAAAUAGCAUGCAUGAAUUGUGUACAAUAAUGGGUCAAUCAAACAAUACAUUUAUAUAUAAAAAAAAAUAAUAAUAAUAAUAAAAAAUGCAAGAUGCCUGGCAGUGAAAAGAAAAAACACAACAUAUGCAAACAUGUUUUUCAAAGGUAAUUUUAUUUUUAUUUUUUGACAAGUGCAACGGUUAAAGGGUCUACCGCAUAUUUAUAUACAGUACAAUAAUUAUGAAAAAACGUCAUAAUGAACUGAAAAAAAAAACUGUAAACAGUCCCUAAUACCAGAAAUAUUUAUUAACACUGUAAAUAGAAUUCAAUAUAAUUGGCUGAACUGGCUAAAAUUGGCUCCACUUCCACAUGACCUGAAAACACACCCACUGUCUGUUUAAACAACACACCGGUCACCUUUGACCUCAAAACAGCACACCUCUCUGGCUUUGAUAUCUGAGUAGUGUAUCAACUUACACAAAGCAAAGGGUUCGUGAUAAAGCAAAAGGACAAACUAUAAGACAUUAAAAUACUCUGUAUGACAACACUUGAGUUUAAAUCAACAGAUAUGACGGAACCUACAAACUGACAUCAUAUGAUGAUUGACGACUGCACACACCUGCGCGCUUUAACCAAAUACUGCAAACAAAGUAUGAUUUUACCCUCAAUGAACCAACCAUUCUGUAUUUGCUUAUAUAAACCUAAGUUGACAUGCACGAUGACAUCAAAUUAGAGCCCUAUGUAUACUUAAAACAACUUUAACAAAGAUUUCCUUCCGUCUAAAGUGCAUUUGUAUGUGUUUCCAGCUCCUAAAGACAGGUCUAGCCUGUUAUCACCAGUCACGUUUUGUCUGAACUCCCUGCAGUCAUGUGAACGCUGCUAAUUCUGUUCUAUUGAAACUGCAGGCAAAUCCUCUUCAUUCACACUCAGAUUCCUGUCAACACACGUACACACACCUCCAGCUGUGUCGAGGCACUUCCUUACCGCCUCACUUCAUCUAGUUUAGGUAGCCAAAAACACAGGCUACAAAAUGACUGCAGCAUGUGUUUGGUUAAACUCUGUCUGAGAACAGGCAGGUGGUGCUGGGAAAUUGCAAAAUUUGUUUUUGUUUUUUUAACAU
rnacentral:lncRNA from 1 species